GUCUAAGGCCAUGCUACCCUGAAAAAUCUCGAUCCAGUCUGAUCGCGGAAGCUAAGCAGAGUCGAGCCUGGUUAGUACUUGCAUGGGAGACCACCUAGAAAGACCAGGUGCUAUAGGCU
rnacentral:rRNA from 1 species